rnacentral:piRNA from 1 species
UGCCACAAUAUGGUGACCUCAUGGAGAA